rnacentral:rRNA from 1 species
CCAAUAGCGUAUAUUAAAGUUGUUGCAGUUAAAAAGCUCGUAGUUGAAUUUCGGGGUUAGCAAGUUGGUCGUGCCAUUGGUAUGCACUGGCUUUGCUGAUUCCUCCUUCUUGAAGAACUGUGAUGCUAUUAAUUUGGUGUUGCAGGGAAACAGGACUGUUACUUUGAAAAAAUUAGAGUGUUUAAAGCAGGCUAACGCUUGAAUACAUUAGCAUGGAAUAAUGAAAUAGGACGUUUGAUCCUAUUUUGUUGGUCUCUAGGAUUGACGUAAUGAUUAAUAGGGAGAGUUGGGGGCAUUAGUAUUCAAUUGUCAGAGGUGAAAUUCUUGGAUUUAUUGAAGACUAACUACUGCGAAAGCAUUUGCCAAGGAUGUUUUCAUUAAUCAAGAACGAAAGUUAGGGGAUCGAAGACGAUCAGAUACCGUCGUAGUCUUAACCAUAAACUAUGCCGACUAGGGAUCGGAUGAUGUUAAUUUUAUAAUGACUCAUUCGGCGCCUUACG